CCUACGGGGGGCAGCAGUGAGGAAUAUUGGUCAAUGGACGAGAGUCUGAACCAGCCAAGUAGCGUGAAGGAUGACUGCCCUAUGGGUUGUAAACUUCUUUUAUAAAGGAAUAAAACGAGGCACGUGUGCCUUUUUGCAUGUACUUUAUGAAUAAGGAUCGGCUAACUCCGUGCCAGCAGCCGCGGUAAGACGUAGGGGGCAAGCGUUAUCCGGAAUUACGGGGUGUAAAGGGAGCGUAGAUGGGUUGUUAAGUCAGUUGUGAAAGUUUGCGGCUCAACCGUAAAAUUGCAAUUGAUACUGGCAGUCUUGAGUACAGUUGAGGUAGGCGGAAUUCGUGGUGUAGCGGUGAAAUGCUUAGAUAUCACGAAGAACUCCGAUUGCGAAGGCAGCUUACUAAACUGCCACUGACAUUGAUGCUCGAAAGUGUGGGUAUCAAACAGGAUUAGAUACCCGUGUAGUC
rnacentral:rRNA from 1 species